AAGCCAGCCAGUUAGUCUGCUUAUCUGAAUGUGUUUCUGCAGAAAUAUAGAGAAAGCUGGCAAUAGUGAUGCCAUGUUACAAGCCUUAAGGACAGCUGAAAACCUAGUCAAAAGC
rnacentral:snoRNA from 1 species